rnacentral:piRNA from 1 species
UGGAUGAACCUUCCUUCCUCCUUGCCGAUAA